rnacentral:rRNA from 1 species
GGGUGGGGGGGUGCUUACACAUGCAGUCGAACGGUGAAGGAGAGCUUGCUCUUUGGAUCAGUGGCGAACGGGUGAGUAACACGUGAGCAAUCUGCCCCUGACUCUGGGAUAACAGUUGGAAACAGCUGCUAAUACCGGAUACGAGACGUGACCGCAUGGUCGACGUUUGGAAAGAAUUUCGGUCAGGGAUGAGCUCGCGGCCUAUCAGCUUGUUGGUGAGGUAAUGGCUCACCAAGGCGUCGACGGGUAGCCGGCCUGAGAGGGUGACCGGCCACACUGGGACUGAGACACGGCCCAGACUCCUACGGGAGGCAGCAGUGGGGAAUAUUGCACAAUGGGCGAAAGCCUGAUGCAGCAACGCCGCGUGAGGGACGACGGCCUUCGGGUUGUAAACCUCUUUUAGCAGGGAAGAAGCGAAAGUGACGGUACCUGCAGAAAAAGCGCCGGCUAACUACGUGCCAGCAGCCGCGGUAAUACGUAGGGCGCAAGCGUUAUCCGGAAUUAUUGGGCGUAAAGAGCUCGUAGGCGGUUUGUCGCGUCUGCUGUGAAAACUGGAGGCUCAACCUCCAGCCUGCAGUGGGUACGGGCAGACUAGAGUGCGGUAGGGGAGAUUGGAAUUCCUGGUGUAGCGGUGGAAUGCGCAGAUAUCAGGAGGAACACCGAUGGCGAAGGCAGAUCUCUGGGCCGUAACUGACGCUGAGGAGCGAAAGGGUGGGGAGCAAACAGGCUUAGAUACCCUGGUAGUCCACCCCGUAAACGUUGGGAACUAGUUGUGGGGUCCAUUCCACGGAUUCCGUGACGCAGCUAACGCAUUAAGUUCCCCGCCUGGGGAGUACGGCCGCAAGGCUAAAACUCAAAGGAAUUGACGGGGACCCGCACAAGCGGCGGAGCAUGCGGAUUAAUUCGAUGCAACGCGAAGAACCUUACCAAGGCUUGACAUAUACGAGAACGGGCUAGAAAUAGUCAACUCUUUGGACACUCGUAAACAGGUGGUGCAUGGUUGUCGUCAGCUCGUGUCGUGAGAUGUUGGGUUAAGUCCCGCAACGAGCGCAACCCUCGUUCUAUGUUGCCAGCACGUAAUGGUGGGAACUCAUGGGAUACUGCCGGGGUCAACUCGGAGGAAGGUGGGGAUGACGUCAAAUCAUCAUGCCCCUUAUGUCUUGGGCUUCACGCAUGCUACAAUGGCCGGUACAAAGGGCUGCAAUACCGUAAGGUGGAGCGAAUCCCAAAAAGCCGGUCCCAGUUCGGAUUGAGGUCUGCAACUCGACCUCAUGAAGUCGGAGUCGCUAGUAAUCGCAGAUCAGCAACGCUGCGGUGAAUACGUUCCCGGGUCUUGUACACACCGCCCGUCAAGUCAUGAAAGUCGGUAACACCUGAAGCCGGUGGCCCAACCCUUGGGAGGCCUCUGCAU